CGCCGGAAGUUGGGAGGGGUCCGGCCAACCGGCCGCAGGAAGAGGCCCAGGGAGCCGGCGGAGGGAGAGGGACGGAAGGCGGCGCAUGCAGGUGGAACCCCGGUCUCCAAGGCAACAAGCGACGGGGAAGCUCAGUUCCCCGAAGAGGGAUAGAACUGCGCCCUCUGCAGUGGAAGCGCAGAUUCUUAACCACUGGACCACCAGGGAAGUCCCUAAAGUUUUUGAUAAUCAGCACCGGAGUCUCCUCUCAGCUCCUCCCUGGGCACAGCGCAGUGAAAAGAGCGUGAGCUUUGGACUCACACGGGCCUGGAACAGAACUGUGAUCAUGGGUAGUAGUCCCUCUGAGCCUCAGUUUCCUCAUCUAUGAAAUGGGAGCAGUGAUGGCAACUUCACACAAGUGUGGGCAGAAGGGUCGAGAUGACUCGUACAUCCCGCUGACCACAGCAGAGCAUGGUGAAGCGAUAGGGGCUCAAAAAAGUGAAGCAAGAUCACCCAGAACUAGGAAACAGAACCCAUCCUCCCGACUCUUAGCCAAGAGUACACCAGUUGCUAGGUAUCCUUCUUUGAAAACUUCCAGCAAGUUUCUAAGAGCCUUUAACGAUGCUGUCACCUUUCUACUGUUCGACUUCAAAAUUGCAACUGUUCUACAUCAGUAAGAACAAAGGUGGGAGGAAGAGCCUGGAGGAAUCCCUUGGCCGGCUGUCGGAUAGCUGUGCCGGGGCCCAAGAACUCUACCUCGUGGCUUCUGAGCAGGCAGGUUUGGUCCAGAGGGUAUGCUGCUGCUGGAGGAUGUGUUCUGCUUCAUGUUUAACGGGCAGAGAUUAGCAACAAACAUGGAAUGUUGCUGCUUUGGCGGAGAACUGUGCAGGGUUCCCGCGUGAAGCCGUUCUCAUGUGGGGCUGAGUAUAGGAGAGAGCAAAGAGGGGCGACGGGGGCAAAAAUGAGCCUGGGACAGAAACACAGCCUGGCGUGCCAAACUCGGGAGCAAAACCUUUAUCCUUCAAUUCCAUGCAUCAAGUCAAGGGUUGCUGUCCAUCAGCCAGGUGAAGACAUAGUGAAAAUGCAGCUGUCUGUAGGCCAGGAAGAGAGCUCUCACCAGGAAGUGAAUCAGCUGGAUCCUUGAUCUGGGACUUCCAGCCUCCAGAACUAUCCCUGCUGAUCCUCCUUACGCCUGAAGCCCAGACAGCCUUAGAAGAAAUAGGCUUAAAACCCGUUGGGAGGUUUAACCUGAAAGCGUGUCAGAGUCGCCCACCUGGGUGGGGCACAGGCUGAUUUCAGUGCGCCCCUAUUUCGACACGUGUGGACCACUUCUGGAAGGCUCAGCCCUCUGCCACAGGCUUUACCAACGGACUCCACACGGAGUGAAUUCCCUCGGGGUCUGACCAGCUGAGGACACAGCUGAACCGGGCCUGGGCUGCUGGCAGAGAUUUAGUUCCUCGUGGACAAUAUCCAGCACAGAACUUAGAGGCAGAGACUCCUCAGACCAAUUAGCCAAAUCAGCCAAUUCCUCUCAGAAAAACCCUGACUUCAUUUUUGAACUCGAAUAAGUUUCCUUGCAUCCCUGUGACAACUGUCUCACUUCUGAAUCCCGAUUCUUGCAGAGAAUCAUAAGACCUUCAUCUGACCUUGUCGCCUGGGUGAAAAGAGUGUGCGCUUGGAGGACAGACCCUCCCGAGGUGAAGCUGCCCUGACGCCUGCAGGCUGCAGGCUCCGGUCCCACACAGAUUCCCUGCCCUGAGCUUCUGAAGACGGGACCGGCCUCAGCCCAUAAAACGCCGUCUGUUCUAUGAUCAAAGAGACCAAAACCUCCAGUUAUAAAGGUUACAAUCUGCUCCUUGAACAACUGUCAGCCGCGAUGGGACCAGAGAUGCCGAGAUGAUGGGAUGGACGGGAUGGGAUUCUGCAUUCUCAGACUUCCUCCUUCCUCCUCCCCAGGACCCCUGCUCUGAAAAAUCAUCCUUGGCAUCACGUACAUGAGAAGUCCCAUCCUCCCGCGUGCUAUGUGAUACCAGGCAGGGCGAAAUCCCUGAGCCCUGGUCGGAACAGCUCUCAGAAAAACAUCUGCGUGGAUUUGCUGGCUUUCCUUAAACAAGGGCCAGCUCAGCUCCUCCAGGGCCGUGUGCAGCAAAGCUGAUGACAGGCUCUGCAAGGAAAAUACAAGAAGUUCUCCCUCUGUUACAAGGGGCUCUGUCCUUCCAGACCAGGCUGCAGAGCAUCCUCUGGGGGUAACGGCAGUUCAGGAGAGUGAGGCUGGACCACAUUUGGAGGACAAGAGGUCCCCUCCAUCCCAGCCAUCCCAGAUGGGUGAGCAAGGCCCUCCUAGAUCACCUGGCACUGCUGAGCCAGCCCCAAACAGAAGAACCGACUGGCCCGUUGCAGAAUCGUGAGAGGCAACAGCUUCCACUCCCACAGCAUCUAACUAACCCUGACAUGGAGCAAAUGACCAGCAGUGUUUGUACGGUGAAUCGGUGAAGGAGGGGCAGCGUGGAGCCAUGAGUGAGGACACAGAUUUUUAGAAUUCCUGGGUGAAAACCCCAGCUCUGCUACUUACUAACGGAGUCUCCCUAGGAAAGUUGUUAAGUCAUUUUAUUUUGCCUCGGUUUCUUCAUCUAUAAAAGGGGGGAAAUAGCAGAAUCUACAUCGUGAGGUUGUUAUAAGGAUUAAAUGAAUUGGCAGUUGUUGUUUGUGAAAUAAAUAAAUGAGAGGCGCCCACUGCUGCCUCUAGUCCGUCCAGCCAAGGCCACACUCAGCGGCAGCUCCAUUCUCCACGUCCGCCAAAGGUCCUCUUUUUUUAAAAUAUUAAACAAUCAAUCAAUUAAUUGAUCUUUAAAACUUGAGAUAUAAUUGACAUAUAAUAUUAUGUAAGUUUAAGGUAUACAACAUGUUGGUUUGAUGUAUUUAUAUGUUGAGACAUGAUUAUCACCACAGUGUGAUAUGUUUCAUGUUCGCAUCUUAAAAUUAGGUAAAUGACCUCAUCUUUCAAGCUCGAAUUCAUUUUUAGUUUUAAUUUGAUUUUAUACAAUGUAUAGACAGUUCCCUGUUCUUUGCGUUUAGAAGUAUAAACAAUAUAAAUCUGUUAAUUCUGUAAAUAAUAUUUGUAAUUAUGAUGUAACGCUAUUCUAUCCUUAAAACAUUUAAAAUAAACCUUUUAGGGCUUCCCUGGUGGCGCAGUGGUUGGGAGUCUGCCUGCUGAAGCAGGGAACACGGGUUCGUGCCCCGGUCCGGGAGGAUCCCACGUGCCACGGAGCGGCUGGGCCCGUGAGCCAUGGCCGCCGAGCCUGAGCGUCCGGAGCCUGUGCUCCGCAACGGGAGAGGCCACAACAGUGAGAGGCCCGCGUACCGCAAAAAAAUAAAUAAAUAAAUAAAUAAAAAUAAAAUCCUUUAUGUGCCAAAAAAAAAGUCUUGAGCCUCGUCUACUGAGUAACAGAAUCUGACAGUCAACUGGUCCAAUGAGCCAGCGUAAAUAGAGAUGGCUGGCCUCUGCCCGGGCUCCCCCGCUGCUUUGGAGCAGAGGGAAAUUGAAAAGGAGAUCGUUGUUAAAAGCAUGGUCUUUGGAGCCAUUUGGACCACGAUGUGCUUCCCUGCUUUAUCAGGCACUGCUCAGCGGAGCCUGGGAAGACGACCCAUCUCUCUGAGUCCCCAUUUCUUCAUCUCCAUUGGACACGCAGCCAUCACCCCUCCUCCACGCCCUUCUGUUGUUACUGCUACUUCUGUCUCUGCUACAGUGGCUGUGCCAUCUUGCCUGAAGGAGAUGCUCAUGCCAGGGAUAUCUGCCAAAGGCCCCAUUUUAAUUCAACCAAUUAAAGACUGCCUGGAAAUACCCUCUUCAUGUCCUGUAACCCGUUUUGCAAGGGCUGUUGAGUUCUGCCUCCAUAUAUGGUGGCCAUUUGCACAGCUGUGAAACACCUCCUCCAACAAGUACCACUUGUUACUCCACAGUGGUAACAAGCUGUGAGCCUGGACUGACCAGACCAAAUGCCACAGGGAAUAGAAGAGAGAGUGGUGUUGGAGAAUGUGGCUGCACUGGACUCUUGAUUUCACCUUCCAAAUAUCUUUUCAAUCUGUCCAUUCCCACAGCUGCCGCCCUAAGCCAGGCUCCUAUCCUGUCUUACCUAGACAGCUGCAAAUGCCUCCGUCUUACUUGAGAUACCCCGAGAAAGCAGAGCCUAAAAGGACUUCUUUGCAGAUUGCUUAUUUAGCAGUAAUCCCAGGAAUCAGCAGUGAGGGACAGGCAGAGUGGGAGAUGAAGGAACGUCUAUAUAAGAGUGCGUAAGUGAGGUCGCAGUCGUGGGACCUAAACCCAACCUGGGACCUGAAGAGUGGGUCCUGAUUGCCCAUGAGGAGUGUUUAUCCAACGGCUCCCAUUCUCCACUGGCUGAGGGUUGCUCCUGGAAGCACAAAUUCUCCUGCACAUUCAGAUCAUUCCUACAUGUGCACCAACAGCUCCCCUGGCACCGGUGUCACUGGAGAGGCCCCAGGGAAGGUGGCAUUUGAGGUGAAGCCCACCUGGGAGAGUCCACCAUGGCCGUGGCCAUGGCUGAAUUCAAAGGGGGUGCUGAACAGGUGUGGGGCAAGGCAGCUAAGGUUUCCUGUACAAUCUCCUAACUGUACAGUCUCUUCCUGUACAAUCUCUACCCUUAUCAGUGCUCGCUCUUCUCUACACAGGAGCUACAGUGAUUACGUUUUCAAAACGUUAAAUGGAUCUGUCACAUAUACCCUCUGAACCCCCAGGGCUUAAAUCAGUGCUAUGGAUAAAGAUCACAAUCCUAAGAUGGCCUAGGGAGCCCUGCCCACCUCUGCCCACUGCUCCUGCCCACCUCUGCCCACUACUCCUGCCCACCCCCACCUCACUCUCCGGGAAUGGGCCACCCUACCUCCUUGCCAUCUUGUCCAAAGUGCUGUGCCCACUCUGACCACAGGGACUUUGCACAUGCAGUGCCUUCUUUCACUAGCACACCCCUGUUUGUCCUUUACCUCUCAGCUCAAGCGUUUCUACAGAGGAGCCUUUUGAACCCCAUCUCUGGGAUGGGCCAGGGUCCUUUGUCAAGCCUGUUGGAGGACCCGACAGUCUCCUUUUAGAGGAUCUGGUGGCAGCAUUUACCUGGGUGGGGGCAGGGGGACGGUAGCUGGAGGGGAAGUCUGGGAGAACAACUGACUUCUUGCUGCAUAGCCUUUGGGACCUUUGGAAAUUUAUACCCUGUUCUCAUGUUGCCAACUAAACUAUUAGGUAAUUAAACCUAAAUCAGAGCAAUAAGACAACUGCAAAAAUCCUAAUUGGGGGCUUCCCUGGUGGUGCAGUGGUUGAGAGUCCGCCUGCCGAUGCAGGGGACGCGGGUUUGUGCCCCGGCCCGGGAAGAUCCCACAUACCGCGGAGCGGCUGGGCCCGUGAGCAAUGGCCGCUGAGCCUGCGCGUCCGGAGCCUGUGCUCCGCAACAGGAGAGGCCACAACAGUGAGAGGCCCGCGUACCGCAAAAAAAAAAAAAAAUCCUAAUUGGCCAACUGGUCGUUCUGGUUUCUGUGUCUGGAUGGCUGCUCCUUAGGGACCCUGCCUGUCCCAGGGCCUCCUCGUCCCCUGAGCCCGCUCACGGCCAAGCUGCAUCUGAAUGCUGCGGGACAUGUCUUAUUCUCUUCCGGAGAUGAGAUGGGUCGGGAGAAUGUAUCUUCCUGGUUCCUUGAGUGUAUGUUUUGCCCUUUAUUCAAGAUUUGUGCUCCCGCCACUUCCUGAAGGGCUUAUGCUGGCUGAGAGCCUGGGAUGCCGUGUGGGGAGCAUCACACUUCUAGGACUCUCUCCGAGAAGCAGAUGGAGAUGUUUCAGUCACCUGAUUUGAACAGAUCACAAAACUUAGGCAAUAAGUUUGACUUUUAAACUCUCUGGCAACCAAGGCCGAAAAAAGGGGAGCAAAGUUCUUGGCUUUGGAAAAAUUUCAUCCAGGAAAUGUGUCUGAGUUUCAGAGGUUCAGGAAGAGCUGCUAAUUUUUAAACUUUCUCUCCAAAGACUCAGACUGCCUUCCCUAAGCACAGUCCCUUCCUUCUUCUGUCUAACGGCUUGAUUGAUGUAUAGUUGAUACACAAUAAACUGCACGUGUUAAUGAAUACA